GAUGAACGCUGGCGGCGUGUCUAAUACAUGCAAGUCGAGCGAAGCGGGGACGGGUGAGUAACACGUGGAUAACCUCCUAUAAGACUGGGAUACCUUCGGGAAACCGGAGCUAAACCGGAUACUUACAGAUGGAUCCGCGCCGCAUUAGCUAGUUGGUAAGGUAACGGCUUACCAAGGCAACGAGGCGUAGCCGACCUGAGAGGGUGACCGGCCACACUGGAACUGAGACACGGUCCAGAGUCCUACGGGAGGCAGCAGUAGGGAAUCUUCCGCAAUGGGCGAAAGCCUGACGGAGCAACGCCGCGUGUGUGAUGAAGGUCUUCGGAUCGUAAAACUCUGUUAUUAGGGAAGCGGUACCUGAUCAGAAAGCCACGGCUAACUACGUGCCAGCCGCCGCGGUAAUUC
rnacentral:rRNA from 1 species